rnacentral:rRNA from 1 species
GACGAACGCUGGCGGCGUGCUUAACACAUGCAAGUCGAACGCUGAAGCCCUUUCGGGGGUGGAUGAGUGGCGAACGGGUGAGUAACACGUGGGUAAUCUGCCCUGUACUUCGGGAUAAGCCUUGGAAACGGGGUCUAAUACCGGAUAGGACCUGUCCUCGCAUGGGGGUGGGUGGAAAGUUCCGGCGGUAUGGGAUGAGCCCGCGGCCUAUCAGCUGGUUGGUGGGGUAGUGGCCUACCAAGGCGACGACGGGUAGCCGGCCUAGAGGGUGGCCGGUCACACUGGGACUGAGACACGGCCCAGACUCCUACGGGAGGCAGCAGUGGGGAAUCUUGCGCAAUGGGCGAAAGCCUGACGCAGCAACGCCGCGUGGGGGAUGACGGCCUUCGGGUUGUAAACCUCUUUCGACAUCGACGAAGGGGCCCUGUUGUGGGGUUUUGACGGUAGGUGUAGAAGAAGCACCGGCUAACUACGUGCCAGCAGCCGCCGUAA